rnacentral:rRNA from 1 species
UGGGGAAUAUUGCACAAUGGGCGCAAGCCUGAUGCAGCCAUGCCGCGUGUAUGAAGAAGGCCUUCGGGUUGUAAAGUACUUUCAGCGGGGAGGAAGGGAGUAAAGUUAAUACCUUUGCUCAUUGACGUUACCCGCAGAAGAAGCACCGGCUAACUCCGUGCCAGCAGCCGCGGUAAUACGGAGGGUGCAAGCGUUAAUCGGAAUUACUGGGCGUAAAGCGCACGCAGGCGGUUGAUUGAGUCAGAUGUGAAAUCCCCGGGCUUAACCCGGGAAUUGCAUCUGAUACUGGUCAGCUAGAGUCUUGUAGAAGGGGGUAGAAUUCCAUGUGUAGCGGUGAAAUGCGUAGAGAUGUGGAGGAAUACCGGUGGCGAAGGCGGCCCCCUGGACAAAGACUGACGCUCAGGUGCGAAAGCGUGGGGAGCAAACAGG